rnacentral:misc_RNA from 1 species
CAAUAAGAGUGUUUAUGGCACUCUUUCAAAAAAUCCAUACCCACCUUGUGUGCAAUGUAAAAAAAAAAAAGGAGUUUUCUUGUGGUUUGGGAGUGAGAGCUGUUUUACAACGCUCAUUUUUUUUUUUUUUUCCUCAAGAGACACUUUUUUUUCAUUUCAUAUACACCUUUCUAUAAGUUUCCUAUUGUCUGAAGUACUUGGAAUAAAUAUAAUUCUAAAAUA